UUGAUUGGUGCUUGCAUCAUGAUUUACAUUUGAGUGAGUGGCGAACUGGUGAGUAACACGUGGGAAACCUGCCCAGAAGCGGGGGAUAACACCUGGAAACAGAUGCUAAUACCGCAUAACAACUUGGACCGCAUGGUCCGAGCUUGAAAGAUGGCUUCGGCUAUCACUUUUGGAUGGUCCCGCGGCGUAUUAGCUAGAUGGUGGGGUAACGGCUCACCAUGGCAAUGAUACGUAGCCGACCUGAGAGGGUAAUCGGCCACAUUGGGACUGAGACACGGCCCAAACUCCUACGGGAGGCAGCAGUAGGGAAUCUUCCACAAUGGACGAAAGUCUGAUGGAGCAACGCCGCGUGAGUGAAGAAGGGUUUCGGCUCGUAAAACUCUGUUGUUAAAGAAGAACAUAUCUGAGAGUAACUGUUCAGGUAUUGACGGUAUUUAACCAGAAAGCCACGGCUAACUACGUGCCAGCAGCCGCGGUAAUACGUAGGUGGCAAGCGUUGUCCGGAUUUAUUGGGCGUAAAGCGAGCGCAGGCGGUUUUUUAAGUCUGAUGUGAAAGCCUUCGGCUCAACCGAAGAAGUGCAUCGGAAACUGGGAAACUUGAGUGCAGAAGAGGACAGUGGAACUCCAUGUGUAGCGGUGAAAUGCGUAGAUAUAUGGAAGAACACCAGUGGCGAAGGCGGCUGUCUGGUCUGUAACUGACGCUGAGGCUCGAAAGUAUGGGUAGCAAACAGGAUUAGAUACCCUGGUAGUCCAUACCGUAAACGAUGAAUGCUAAGUGUUGGAGGGUUUCCGCCCUUCAGUGCUGCAGCUAACGCAUUAAGCAUUCCGCCUGGGGAGUACGGCCGCAAGGCUGAAACUCAAAGGAAUUGACGGGGGCCCGCACAAGCGGUGGAGCAUGUGGUUUAAUUCGAAGCUACGCGAAGAACCUUACCAGGUCUUGACAUACUAUGCAAAUCUAAGAGAUUAGACGUUCCCUUCGGGGACAUGGAUACAGGUGGUGCAUGGUUGUCGUCAGCUCGUGUCGUGAGAUGUUGGGUUAAGUCCCGCAACGAGCGCAACCCUUAUUAUCAGUUGCCAGCAUUAAGUUGGGCACUCUGGUGAGACUGCCGGUGACAAACCGGAGGAAGGUGGGGAUGACGUCAAAUCAUCAUGCCCCUUAUGACCUGGGCUACACACGUGCUACAAUGGAUGGUACAACGAGUUGCGAACUCGCGAGAGUAAGCUAAUCUCUUAAAGCCAUUCUCAGUUCGGAUUGUAGGCUGCAACUCGCCUACAUGAAGUCGGAAUCGCUAGUAAUCGCGGAUCAGCAUGCCGCGGUGAAUACGUUCCCGGGCCUUGUACACACCGCCCGUCACACCAUGAGAGUU
rnacentral:rRNA from 2 species